GUAACGGAACCCAUAAUGC
rnacentral:miRNA from 1 species